rnacentral:rRNA from 1 species
AGUGGGGGAUAGCCCGGCGAAAGCCGGAUUAAUACCGCAUACGAUCUGAGGAUGAAAGCGGGGGACCUUCGGGCCUCGCGCUAUAGGGUUGGCCGAUGGCUGAUUAGCUAGUUGGUGGGGUAAAGGCCUACCAAGGCGACGAUCAGUAGCUGGUCUGAGAGGACGACCAGCCACACUGGGACUGAGACACGGCCCAGACUCCUACGGGAGGCAGCAGUGGGGAAUUUUGGACAAUGGGCGAAAGCCUGAUCCAGCAAUGCCGCGUGUGUGAAGAAGGCCUUCGGGUUGUAAAGCACUUUUGUCCAGAAAGAAAUCCUUGGUUCUAAUAUAGCCGGGGGAUGACGGUACCGGAAGAAUAAGCACCGGCUAACUACGUGCCAGCAGCCGCGGUAAUACGUAGGGUGCAAGCGUUAAUCGGAAUUACUGGC